GACGCUGGCGGUAGGCUUAACACAUGCAAGUCGUGCGAGAAAGUACCUUCGGGUACGAGUAGAGCGGCGGACGGGUGAGUAACGCGUAGGAAUCUACCUAGUAGAAGGGGAUAGCCCGGGGAAACUCGGAUUAAUACCGUAUACCUCCUUAGGGAGAAAGAGGGCUUAGCUUUGAUGCUCUCGCUAUUAGAUGAGCCUGCGUAAGAUUAGCUUGUUGGUGAGGUAAUGGCUCACCAAGGCGACGAUCUUUAGCUGGUCUGAGAGGACGAUCAGCCACAUUGGGACUGAGACACGGCCCAGACUCCUACGGGAGGCAGCAGUGGGGAAUAUUGGACAAUGGGCGCAAGCCUGAUCCAGCCAUACCGCGUGUGUGAAGAAGGCUUUCGGGUUGUAAAGCACUUUAAGUAAGGAGAAAAAGAUUGUAGUUAAUACCUGCAAUCCGUGAUGUUACUUACAGAAUAAGGACCGGCUAAUUCCGUGCCAGCAGCCGCGGUAAUACGGAAGGUCCAAGCGUUAAUCGGAAUUACUGGGCGUAAAGCGCGCGUAGGUGGUUUUUUAAGUUGGAUGUGAAAGCCCUGGGCUCAACCUAGGAACUGCAUCCAAAACUAGAUAACUAGAGUACGAAAGAGGGAAGUAGAAUUCACAGUGUAGCGGUGGAAUGCGUAGAUAUUGUGAAGAAUACCAAUGGCGAAGGCAGCUUCCUGGUUCUGUACUGACACUGAGGUGCGAAAGCGUGGGUAGCGAACAGGAUUAGAUACCCUGGUAGUCCACGCCGUAAACGAUGACAACUAGCUGUUGGGAGACAAGAUCUCUCAGUGGCGCAGCUAACGCUUUAAGUUGUCCGCCUGGGGAGUACGGCC
rnacentral:rRNA from 1 species